rnacentral:rRNA from 1 species
UACGUAGGUGGCAAGCGUUGUCCGGAUUUACUAGGCGUAAAGGGCGUGCAGGCGGUCUGUUAAGUCUAGGGUGAAAGCUCCCGGCUCAACUGGGAGAGGUCCUUGGAUACUGGCGGACUUGAGGGAUGCAGAGGAAAGUGGAAUUCCCGGUGUAGUGGUGAUAUGCGUAGAUAUCGGGAGGAACACCUGUGGCGAAAGCGGCUCACUGGACCACAACUGACGCUGAGGCGCGAAAGCUAGGGGAGCAAACAGG